AUUGAACGCUGGCGGCAGGCCUAACACAUGCAAGUCGAGCGGCAGCGGGAAAGUAGCUUGCUACUUUUGCCGGCGAGCGGCGGACGGGUGAGUAAUGCCUGGGAAAUUGCCCAGUCGAGGGGGAUAACAGUUGGAAACGACUGCUAAUACCGCAUACGCCCUACGGGGGAAAGCAGGGGACCUUCGGGCCUUGCGCGAUUGGAUAUGCCCAGGUGGGAUUAGCUAGUUGGUGAGGUAAUGGCUCACCAAGGCGACGAUCCCUAGCUGGUCUGGGAGGAUGGUCAGCCACACUAGAACUGAGACACGGUCCAGAAGCCUACGGGAGGCAGCAGUGGGGAAUAUUGCACAACGGGGGAAACCCUGAUGCAGCCAUGCCGCGUGUGUGAAGAAGGCCUUCGGGUUGUAAAGCACUUUCAGCGAGGAGGAAAGGUUGAUGCCUAAUACGUAUCAACUGUGACGUUACUCGCAGAAGAAGCACCGGCUAACUCCGUGCCAGCCGCCGCAGUAAAAC
rnacentral:rRNA from 1 species